rnacentral:rRNA from 1 species
UCGGGAAUUUUGGGCAAUGGGGGCAACCCUGACCCAGCAACGCCGCGUGAAGGAUGAAGUAUUUCGGUAUGUAAACUUCGAAAGAAUAGGAAGAAUAAAUGACGGUACUAUUUAUAAGGUCCGGCUAACUACGUGCCAGCAGCCGCGGUAAUACGUAGGGACCAAGCGUUGUUCGGAUUUACUGGGCGUAAAGGGCGCGUAGGCGGCAUGACAAGUCACUUGUGAAAUCUCUGGGCUUAACCCAGAACGGCCAAGUGAUACUGUCGCGCUAGAGUGCAGAAGGGGCAAUCGGAAUUCUUGGUGUAGCGGUGAAAUGCGUAGAUAUCAAGAGGAACACCUGAGGUGAAGACGGGUUGCUGGGCUGACACUGACGCUGAGGCGCGAAAGCCAGGGGAGCAAACGGGAUUAGAUACCCCCGUAGUCCCUGAGCGGGCUGGCAAGGCGCAU